UACGGGGGGAGCAAGCGUUGUUCGGAUUUACUGGGCGUAAAGGGCGCGUAGGCGGUCAGCACAAGUCAGUUGUGAAAUCUCCGGGCUUAACUCGGAAAGGUCAACUGAUACUGUGCGACUAGAGUGCAGAAGGGGCAACUGGAAUUCUCGGUGUAGCGGUGAAAUGCGUAGAUAUCGAGAGGAACACCUGCGGCGAAAGCGGCGCACUGGACCAUAACUGACGCUGAGGCGCGAAAGCUAGGGGAGCAAACAGG
rnacentral:rRNA from 1 species